GCUCGUAGUCGGAUUUCGGGGCGGCUUCGUCGGUCUGCCGAUGGGUAUGCACUGACGCGGGCGUCCUUCCUUCCGGAGACGCGUCCUACUCUUAGCUGAGCGGGGCGUGGAGACGGAUCGUUUACUUUGAAAAAAUCAGAGUGUUUCAAGCAGGCAUCAUCGCUCUUGCAUGGAUUAGCAUGGGAUAAUGAAAUAGGACCUUGGUGCUAUUUUGUUGGUUUCGAGCACCGAAGUAAUGAUUAACAGGGACAGUCAGGGGCACUCGUAUUCCGCCGAGAGAGGUGAAAUUCUCAGACCAGCGGAAGACGAACCACUGCGAAAGCAUUUGCCAGGGAUGUUUUCACUGAUCAAGAACGAAAGUUAGGGGAUCGAAGACGAUCAGAUACCGUCGUAGUCUUAACCAUAAACCAUGCCGACUAGGGAUUGGAGGAUGUCCACUUUUGACUUCUUCAGCACCUUACGGGAAACUAAAGUCUUUGGGUUCCGGGGGGAGUAUGGUCGCAAGGCUGAAACUUAAAGGAAUUGACGGAAGGGCACCACCAGGAGUGGAGCCUGCGGCUUAAUUUGACUCAACACGGGGAAACUUACCAGGUCCAGACAUUGUGAGGAUUGACAGAUUGAGAGCUCUUUCUUGAUUCGAUGGGUGGUGGUGCAUGGCCGUUCUUAGUUGGUGGAGUGAUUUGUCU
rnacentral:rRNA from 1 species